rnacentral:rRNA from 1 species
UCCAAGGUAAAGGUCUCGUUGGUGACCAGCGGAGGGAUCAUUACCGAGUUAUACAACUCCCAAACCCACUGUGAACCUUACCUCAGUUGCCUCGGCGGGAACGCCCCGGCCGCCUGCCCCCGCGCCGGCGCCGGACCCAGGCGCCCGCCGCAGGGACCCCAAACUCUCUUGCAUUACGCCCAGCGGGCGGAAUUUCUCCUCUGAGUUGCACAAGCAAAAACAAAUGAAUCAAAACUUUCAACAACGGAUCUCUUGGUUCUGGCAUCGAUGAAGAACGCAGCGAAAUGCGAUAAGUAAUGUGAAUUGCAGAAUUCAGUGAAUCAUCGAAUCUUUGAACGCACAUUGCGCCCGCCAGCAUUCUGGCGGGCAUGCCUGUUCGAGCGUCAUUUCAACCCUCGAGCCCCCCCCCGGGGGCCUCGGUGUUGGGGGACGGCACACCAGCCGCCCCCGAAAUGCAGUGGCGACCCCGCCGCAGCCUCCCCUGCGUAGUAGCACACACCUCGCACCGGAGCGCGGAGGCGGUCACGCCGUAAAACGCCCAACUUUCUUAGAGUUGACCUCGGAUCAGGUAGGAAUACCCGCUGAACUUAAGCAUAUCAAUAAGCGGAGGAAAAGAAACCAACAGGGAUUGCCCCGUUAACG